rnacentral:rRNA from 1 species
UACGUAGGGGGCAAGCGUUGUCCGGAUUUAUUGGGCGUAAAGAGCGUGUAGGCGGCUUUGCAGGUCCGCUGUGAAAACUCGAGGCUCAACCUCGAGCUGUCGGUGGAAACCGUAAAGCUAGAGUCCGGAAGAGGAGAGUGGAAUUCCCGGUGUAGCGGUGAAAUGCGCAGAUAUCAGGAGGAACACCGGUGGCGAAGGCGGGUCUCUGGGCAGUAACUGACGCUGGAGGAGCGAAAGCAUGGGGAGCGAACAGG